AGCCUGGGCAGCAAGAAAGUAUACUAUUUUGUUAAACUUUUGGAUUUUGGCCAAUCUGAUCGGGCAUCUUGGUACACAGCAUGAGGCACACCUCCAAUUUUUGCUGAGUCCAGCUGGCUCACCUUCUAUCCUAACAUCACCUAAGAAGGAAGCUGAAGCAUUUUCACCCAGAGAGGAAGUUUCAUCAUUCUCAUCCUUGACACUCGGGAGUUGGACGGUCUGUACAGUGAGUGGCCAGAAUAUCAGGCUCC